UACCGUGCCAAGAGCGCGGGGUCGGUCGGCGUCCACCGCUGCCAGCGUCGGGUAAGGUUCAGGCAGGAGAUAAGAAGGAUGCCUUUGUGAGGGGCGAGGGCCCGAAGGGAACCACAAGAAACACGGCAGCCGACCGGACGUGUCUUCGGCCACAACAAAGAUGGCGACCGACCGGAAGUGGCUGCGGCCACAACAAAGAUGGCCGCAAGAAAGGGCGGGAAAUGAAGGACCAAGGUCCGUGUUUGGGCUGCCUGCCCGCGCCCCGAGCCGUUCUCCGCGGCAUUGCCAGGCGUGCGGACACGGGCCGUGCGCCCAGCGGCACCGCGGGCACGCCGGAGCCCGGCGGGCGCCGGCAGGCAGCUGCGGCACGCCUCUCUCUGCCGGGCUCCGCCUCAGGAACGACCCUUCCCGUCUCCAGUCUGUGUUCCCUCCCGGCUCCCCUCCCGCCCGGGGAAACGGAGGAAAACACAAAUAACAUCGAGGAAGAAAGAACAGCCUGCAGAGCUGCCCGAGCCAUCGCCCUGCCCGCAGCCGGGAGCAGCCAGCAGGAGGAGGCAGCUGCUUUCUCAGCCAGAAAGAGAUUCAGCUGUGGGGAAGCUGCAGAGAAGGCUGCCUGGCACAGCCCCCCAGAAUGGGCCUCCCCCGACUGGGCUCCCGCAGAGGAUGGGGCAGUUGCAGCCCCCUGUCAUUCCUGUGAGAUUUGGUAAGUCUGGGGAGGGGUUUCCUGACUGUCCCUGUCUCCAAGCGAGCCGUGCCUCGUUGUCCAGAAGCCCUGCCUGGGCAGCCCGGCCCGGCACAGCUCCAUUCCCUCUCCCGGGCUCACCGGAGGGAUGCAGAGCCACCAAAGUGCGGGUCAGGCUGGAAAGGGGACGGUGGGGCCUGCGGCCACAGCAGGGGGAAGGACAGGAGGCAAAGCCUCUCGACCAGCCCUGGGCCCAGCCUGCCCAGGAGAAGCUUCCGAGAGGCGCCGGGGCUCUCGUUUGCCCGGAAAGCUGCAGCCGUUGGGGCAGGUCUCGGGCUGUGACCCAGCCCCUGCAGCACUGCAGAGAAAAGGGGCACGUGAUGGCCCACGGGGUCGGCUGCAGUCCUUAAGAGCAGUGCCUGCUUUCACCACUGCCUUUUGCUGCCUGCAGAGAUCUGUGCUGAGGGUUGGCAGCUCCUGCUGGGGCAAGAGCUGCAUCUUCCAAGAGGCAAAGCUGCAGCAUCUUCCUCCCCAGGGACUGUCUCCAUGCAGGAAGCAGCACAGGGGACUGGCCGAAGGGCUCGGGCUGGGACACGGCCCCAACAGGAGCAGCCCUGGCACACUGACACGGGAGGAUGAGCCCAGGGAUGGGACUGGGAGACGCCUCCACGCCGAGAGUGGCACUUGGCAUGGCUUCAGUCCCCAGUGGAAGAGGCUGGGCUCCCCGCUGCCCAGAGCUCCUGGUUAGGGACACCCACGCCUGCGCCUGGCUCAGAGUCCAGGGUGCACUCAGUCCGGAUCCAGCCUCGAGACGUUCCUGCUGCAGCUGCAGGUGUUUCCCAGUCCAGCUUGCUGAACCUCCAGCUCUGACUGUUCUUCCUUCCAGCUCUGGCUCUGAGAUGCUGCACUUGAUGGCUGCUCCAGUUCCUUCCAGCUCUGGGUUGGUUUUUUCAAGCGCCACUACAAGGAGAUGCUGGAGGGCACCAAGACCCCCGGGGUGCCCCAGGACUGAGUGAGAGGAGCCCAAAAAUUUUGGGCACCCCAUCCCCCCAAAAUAUUAAAUUCACAUGGAAGCUUCCCCUGUAUUUGUGUGGAGUUUUUUGAAAUUAUUUUGGAAUUUUUUAGGGGGGGUUUUGGGAAACUGGGGAGGAGGAAACACUAAAAAAUAAAAAAAUAAAUUUAAAAAGGAUU